rnacentral:rRNA from 1 species
GACGAACGCUGGCGGCGUGCUUAACACAUGCAAGUCGAACGGAAAGGCCCUGCUUGCAGGGUACUCGAGUGGCGAACGGGUGAGUAACACGUGGGUGAUCUGCCCUGCACUUCGGGAUAAGCCUGGGAAACUGGGUCUAAUACCGGAUAGGAGCCAUUUUUAGUGUGAUGGUUGGAAAGUUUUUUCGGUGUAGGAUGAGCUCGCGGCCUAUCAGCUUGUUGGUGGGGUAAUGGCCUACCAAGGCGGCGACGGGUAGCCGGCCUGAGAGGGUGGACGGCCACAUUGGGACUGAGAUACGGCCCAGACUCCUACGGGAGGCAGCAGUGGGGAAUAUUGCACAAUGGGCGCAAGCCUGAUGCAGCGACGCCGCGUGGGGGAUGACGGCCUUCGGGUUGUAAACUCCUUUCGCUAGGGAUGAAGCUUUUGUGACGGUACCUAGAUAAGAAGCACCGGCUAACUACGUG